CCUACGGGGGGCAGCAGUGAGGAAUAUUGGUCAAUGGGCGCGAGCCUGAACCAGCCAAGUCGCGUGAGGGAAGACGGUCCUACGGAUUGUAAACCUCUUUUGUCGGGGAGCAAAAGACGCCACGCGUGGCGUUCCGAGAGUAUCCGAAGAAAAAGCAUCGGCUAACUCCGUGCCAGCAGCCGCGGUAAUACGGAGGAUUCGAGCGUUAUCCGGAUUUAUUGGGUUUAAGGGGUGCGCAGGUGGAAGGUCAAGUCAGCGGUAAAAUUGAGAGGCUCAACCUCUUCGAGCCGUUGAAACUGGUUUUCUUGAGUGAGCGGGAAGUAUGCGGAAUUCGUGGUGGAGCGGUGAAAUGCUUAGAUAUCACGAAGAACUCCGAUUGCGAAGGCAGCUUACUAAACUGCCACUGACAUUGAUGCUCGAAAGUGUGGGUAUCAAACAGGAUUUAGAUACCCCAGUAGUC
rnacentral:rRNA from 1 species